rnacentral:rRNA from 1 species
GAUGAACGCUAGCGGCAGGCUUAACACAUGCAAGUCGAGGGGUAGAGGCUUUCGGGUCUUGAGACCGGCGCACGGGUGCGUAACGCGUAUGCAAUCUGCCUUGUACUGGGGGAUAGCCCAGAGAAAUUUGGAUUAAUACCCCAUAGUAUUUUCGGUUGGCAUCAACUGAUUAUUAAAGUUUUUCGGUACAAGAUGAGCAUGCGUCCCAUUAGCUAGUUGGUAUGGUAACGGCAUACCAAGGCUACGAUGGGUAGGGGUCCUGAGAGGGAGAUCCCCCACACUGGUACUGAGACACGGACCAGACUCCUACGGGAGGCAGCAGUGAGGAAUAUUGGUCAAUGGUCGCAAGACUGAACCAGCCAUGCCGCGUGCAGGAUGAAGCAUCUAUGGUGUGUAAACUGCUUUUGUACGGGAAGAAACACUGCUACGUGUAGCAGCUUGACGGUACCGUAAGAAUAAGGAUCGGCUAACUCCGUGCCAGCAGCCGCCGUAAGAC